rnacentral:rRNA from 1 species
AGAGUUUGAUCCUGGCUCAGGAUGAACGCCGGCGGUGUGCCUAAUACAUGCAAGUCGUACGCACUGGCCCAACUGAUUGAUGGUGCUUGCACCUGAUUGACGAUGGAUCACCAGUGAGUGGCGGACGGGUGAGUAACACGUAGGCAACCUGCCCCGGAGCGAGGGAUAACAUUUGGAAACAGAUGCUAAUACCGCAUAACAACAAAAGUCACAUGGCUUUUGUUUGAAAGAUGGCUUUGGCUAUCACUCUGGGAUGGGCCUGCGGUGCAUUAGCUAGUUGGUAAGGUAACGGCUUACCAAGGCGAUGAUGCAUAGCCGAGUUGAGAGACUGAUCGGCCACAAUGGAACUGAGACACGGUCCAUACUCCUACGGGAGGCAGCAGUAGGGAAUCUUCCACAAUGGGCGCAAGCCUGAUGGAGCAACACCGCGUGAGUGAAGAAGGGUUUCGGCUCGUAAAGCUCUGUUGUUGGAGAAGAACGUGCGUGAGAGUAACUGUUCACGCAGUGACGGUAUCCAACCAGAAAGUCACGGCUAACUACGUGCCAGCAGCCGCGGUAAUACGUAGGUGGCAAGCGUUAUCCGGAUUUAUUGGGCGUAAAGCGAGCGCAGGCGGUUGCUUAGGUCUGAUGUGAAAGCCUUCGGCUUAACCGAAGAAGUGCAUCGGAAAACCGGGCGACUUGAGUGCAGAAGAGGACAGUGGAACUCCAUGUGUAGCGGUGGAAUGCGUAGAUAUAUGGAAGAACACCAGUGGCGAAGGCGGCUGUCUGGUCUGCAACUGACGCUGAGGCUCGAAAGCAUGGGUAGCGAACAGGAUUAGAUACCCUGGUAGUCCAUGCCGUAAACGAUGAGUGCUAGGUGUUGGAGGGUUUCCGCCCUUCAGUGCCGGAGCUAACGCAUUAAGCACUCCGCCUGGGGAGUACGACCGCAAGGUUGAAACUCAAAGGAAUUGACGGGGGCCCGCACAAGCGGUGGAGCAUGUGGUUUAAUUCGAAGCUACGCGAAGAACCUUACCAGGUCUUGACAUCUUGCGCUAACCUUAGAGAUAAGGCGUUCCCUUCGGGGACGCAAUGACAGGUGGUGCAUGGUCGUCGUCAGCUCGUGUCGUGAGAUGUUGGGUUAAGUCCCGCAACGAGCGCAACCCUUGUUACUAGUUGCCAGCAUUAAGUUGGGCACUCUAGUGAGACUGCCGGUGACAAACCGGAGGAAGGUGGGGACGACGUCAGAUCAUCAUGCCCCUUAUGACCUGGGCUACACACGUGCUACAAUGGACGGUACAACGAGUCGCAAGCUCGCGAGAGUAAGCUAAUCUCUUAAAGCCGUUCUCAGUUCGGACUGUAGGCUGCAACUCGCCUACACGAAGUCGGAAUCGCUAGUAAUCGCGGAUCAGCAUGCCGCGGUGAAUACGUUCCCGGGCCUUGUACACACCGCCCGUCACACCAUGGGAGUUUGUAACGCCCAAAGUCGGUGGCCUAACCUUUAUGGAGGGAGCCGCCUAAGGCGGGACAGAUGACUGGGGUGAAGUCGUAACAAGGUAGCCGUAGGAGAACCUGCGGCUG